rnacentral:lncRNA from 1 species
GAGGCAAUGGAUCAUGGAGGCAUGUGCACUUAAACCUUCCAGUGUUGGGAGAUUUGCUUGUAAAACAAACCUGGGCUGACCCAUUCACCAAAUGCUGCCUUUGUUCUGUGUGUAUGCCAGGAAGAAUUUUCUGAUGCAGCUGUUAACAAGUUUUCACAUUUCUAUAGUUUCCCUCCCGAACAAAUGUAUUCUUCUUCACUAUAAUCUUUCCCUGGCUUCACAUUUUGUAUUUUCAGGGACACAGAGGUGAGAAAGAAAAUAUCACCCUGUGUUUUUCUGGGGUCCACUGGUUCUCGUUCAGCAGCUUGGUCAUCUCCUGAAACCCUCCCCGGACAUCUGUCAGAUAUUUCCCCCCAGAAACUGAAACCUGCAGUGUCCACAGAGAAAAUGCAAGGCUUUGUAUGAAUUUUCAUGGAAGGAUCUGUACUUGUGUUUUAUAUUUUACUGCUUACCCUUGUGAGGAGAUGAUUGGUCUUUGGACAUCUUUUUGGAUGCUGAAGUUUUGUCCAUUGCAUAAUCUUUGAAUAUUAGCUGAUAGCUUUUGAGACUAUCACUAAAUCAUUUGCUGUGUUUUAUGUCUCAGUUAUAUGAAUAAAACCUGGUGAUUUUAGAGGGAAAAUUGCA